GAUGAAGAACGCAGCGAAAUGCGAUAAGUAAUGUGAAUUGCAGAAUUCAGUGAAUCAUCGAAUCUUUGAACGCACCUUGCGCCCUUUGGCCAUUCCGAAGGGCAUGCCUGUUUGAGUAUCAUGAACACCUCAACUCUUCAUGGUUUUCCGUGAUGAGCUUGGACUUUGGGGGUCUUGCUGGCCUAUGGUCAGCUCCUCUAAAAUAAAUCAGCUUGCCAGUGUUUGGUGGGUAUCACAGGUGUGAUAACUAUCUACGCUUGUGGUUUUCCACCAGGUAACCUUCAGCAGUGGAGGUUCGCUGGAGCUCACAGAUGUGUCUCUCCUCAGUGAGGACAGCUCUUUGACUGUUUGAUCUCAAAUCAGGUAGGACUACCCGCUGAACUUAAGCAUAUCAAUAAGCGGAGGA
rnacentral:misc_RNA from 1 species